rnacentral:rRNA from 1 species
UAGGGAAUCUUCGGCAAUGGGGGGAACCCUGACCGAGCAACGCCGCGUGAGUGAAGAAGGUUUUCGGAUCGUAAAGCUCUGUUGUUAAGGAAGAACGAGUGUGAGAAUGGAAAGUUCAUACUGUGACGGUACUUAACCAGAAAGGGACGGCUAACUACGUGCCAGCAGCCGCGGUAAUACGUAGGUCCCGAGCGUUGUCCGGAUUUAUUGGGCGUAAAGCGAGCGCAGGCGGUUAGAUAAGUCUGAAGUUAAAGACAGUGGCUCAACCAUUGUAGGCUUUGGAAACUGUUUAACUUGAGUGCAGAAGGGGAGAGUGGAAUUCCAUGUGUAGCGGUGAAAUGCGUAGAUAUAUGGAGGAACACCGGUGGCGAAAGCGGCUCUCUGGUCUGUAACUGACGCUGAGGCUCGAAAGCGUGGGGAGCGAACAGG